UACGGAGGGGGCUAGCGUUGUUCGGAAUUACUGGGCGUAAAGCGCGCGUAGGCGGCUUUGUAAGUUAGAGGUGAAAGCCCAGGGCUCAACCCUGGAAUUGCCUUUAAGACUGCAUCGCUUGAACAUCGGAGAGGUAAGUGGAAUUCCGAGUGUAGAGGUGAAAUUCGUAGAUAUUCGGAAGAACACCAGUGGCGAAGGCGACUUACUGGACGAUUGUUGACGCUGAGGUGCGAAAGCGUGGGGAGCAGACAGG
rnacentral:rRNA from 1 species